GAAACAAUGAUGUGCAGUUGGCUGAUUUUGUAGAAAACGAGUACUUGCAAGAACAGGUGGAAGCAAUCAAGAAGAUCUCGGAAUAUGUAGCUCAGCUGAGAAGAGUGGACAAAGGUCAUGGUGUCUGGCACUUUGAUCAAAUGCUCCUGCACGAGGCGGAAGCUCUUGCAUGAUGGAGGAGAUAGACUUUGAACUUUCUACGAGUAGUCUUCUUUUGGAGGAUGUUGUCUGGGUAUAUUUUGGCAUUAGCCUUUUCUAUGAGAUAGAUAUGUAAGGCGUUUUGGUGAUGGAAAGUCCCAGUGCUGUAUAUAUAGACCAAAUAGAUGUAGUAAUUUGUGCUACUUAUUAGUACCCUCCUGGUGUUCAAAUCAGCUUUAAUUUACCUCAUGGUUUGCUAGUUGUAGCUUGGAAUUGAAGGUACCCCAGUGAAGUCAAAUGUAAAGUGAAGUUGAUAGUUUUGUUUUUAGUUGGAUGUUGACUCAUCUGGAGAAAUAAUAAAUAAUCG
rnacentral:misc_RNA from 1 species